AAGCCCUGUCUCAGGCCUUCCCAGACCACGUGCAAUCGCAUCCAGCCCUUACUGCCAUGGAUCGGUGGAUAUUUUCGUUGCCAGGAUUUAGGAAAAGGACAACUCCCAGCAGACAGAUCUCCCGAGGUGGUCUGGAGGAUGCAUCUGCCUGCCCUGAGUCUUCAAUCAAACCUGAGGAUACUUUCAUCUCCUGGCUUUCUGAGGGCACAUUGCUAGGAAAGUAGGAGACAAAAUGCAACUGUCAGAAUACA